CAGGAGCACCUGUGUAUCUCGAUGCUCGCGUGCUCUGUCCCACACGUGUCUGCAGACGUGACUCUCUGUGUCACAGGCUGAACCCAGCGAAGGAAAGGCCUUGUGUGCCCCAUAAUGACGUGGACGCUUUCCUGCCCUGCGAUGGUUCAGCCCUUCUGCCAAGAUGCUGGGCCUUGCUUACAGAGAGACAGCAGCUUGGAGGAUGGAGGUAGUCGAAAGGAGAUGCCUUUGAACAGGAGCAGAAUAACCAGAAUACAGCACUUCAUAUACAGGACAAGACUGAUUUUAUGGGCCCACAGCCCUGGAAGCUGGUUUCCACCAGGAGGGGCCACUGUGCCUUUCCCAUUAUUGCCUGAGCUCUGGCACUGCUCCACACCAUGCAGGAGAGGGACGGCUAAAGAAGGAUGGGCAGAAUGAAAUUCCACCCAAAGCAGUCUUAUUCAGCCUUCCCCACAUUCUCCUAAAACCUCUCCCUGCCUCACUUCUGCUAAGCCCUGUUGGAGAACCAGAGCAGAGAUGACACAAUCCCAGUGGAGCACUUACCGAUGGUUGGCACCAAGAGAACAUCUGGUGUGGGCAGUGGCUGGAGCUCAGCAUCCUAGCAAGGUACUUUCUGGAAGGAAGCAACACCUGAGAUCUCUCAUCCCUGAGAAUAACUCCCUGUGCAUUAGCACCACCAAAGUACUGAGGAAUUCCAGGCCACAUGUGACCUCUGGCUCUGCAAGGAUCAGCCUCACUGGAGCUCCUCCGUGUGACAUGUGAAGCUCCUGUGUUGCAACAGCCCCGCUACCAGCUCCUGGGGCCUGAGCCGUGGCUGCAGGUGCUGCGGCGGAGCUGGAGCCAUGGCAGAGUCUGCAGGAGGACGGGCAGGUCACGUACCACAGCGAGCUGCAGUGGAGCCAGGUGCCACAUGGGAGAAGGUCAAUAAAGCAGAAAACCCUGGAAGUCAAACAACUCUUCAGGGGUCAUUUGCUCAGAACGAGAACCCAGCUAUUCAGGACCAGUAGAGCCAAG